rnacentral:rRNA from 1 species
AAAUUGAAGAGUUUGAUCAUGGCUCAGAUUGAACGCUGGCGGCAGGCCUAACACAUGCAAGUCGAACGGUAACAGGAAGCAGCUUGCUGCUUUGCUGACGAGUGGCGGACGGGUGAGUAAUGUCUGGGAAACUGCCUGAUGGAGGGGGAUAACUACUGGAAACGGUGGCUAAUACCGCAUAACGUCGCAAGACCAAAGAGGGGGACCUUCGGGCCUCUUGCCAUCAGAUGUGCCCAGAUGGGAUUAGCUUGUUGGUGAGGUAACGGCUCACCAAGGCGACGAUCCCUAGCUGGUCUGAGAGGAUGACCAGCCACACUGGAACUGAGACACGGUCCAGACUCCUACGGGAGGCAGCAGUGGGGAAUAUUGCACAAUGGGCGCAAGCCUGAUGCAGCCAUGCCGCGUGUAUGAAGAAGGCCUUCGGGUUGUAAAGUACUUUCAGCGGGGAGGAAGGUGUUGUGGUUAAUAACCGCAGCAAUUGACGUUACCCGCAGAAGAAGCACCGGCUAACUCCGUGCCAGCAGCCGCGGUAAUACGGAGGGUGCAAGCGUUAAUCGGAAUUACUGGGCGUAAAGCGCACGCAGGCGGUCUGUCAAGUCGGAUGUGAAAUCCCCGGGCUCAACCUGGGAACUGCAUUCGAAACUGGCAGGCUUGAGUCUUGUAGAGGGGGGUAGAAUUCCAGGUGUAGCGGUGAAAUGCGUAGAGAUCUGGAGGAAUACCGGUGGCGAAGGCGGCCCCCUGGACAAAGACUGACGCUCAGGUGCGAAAGCGUGGGGAGCAAACAGGAUUAGAUACCCUGGUAGUCCACGCCGUAAACGAUGUCUACUUGGAGGUUGUGCCCUUGAGGCGUGGCUUCCGGAGCUAACGCGUUAAGUAGACCGCCUGGGGAGUACGGCCGCAAGGUUAAAACUCAAAUGAAUUGACGGGGGCCCGCACAAGCGGUGGAGCAUGUGGUUUAAUUCGAUGCAACGCGAAGAACCUUACCUGGUCUUGACAUCCACGGAAGAAUUUCAGAGAUGGAUGUGCCUUCGGGAACCGUGAGACAGGUGCUGCAUGGCUGUCGUCAGCUCGUGUUGUGAAAUGUUGGGUUAAGUCCCGCAACGAGCGCAACCCUUAUCCUUUGUUGCCAGCGGUCCGGCCGGGAACUCAAAGGAGACUGCCAGUGAUAAACUGGAGGAAGGUGGGGAUGACGUCAAGUCAUCAUGGCCCUUACGACCAGGGCUACACACGUGCUACAAUGGCGCAUACAAAGAGAAGCGACCUCGCGAGAGCAAGCGGACCUCAUAAAGUGCGUCGUAGUCCGGAUUGGAGUCUGCAACUCGACUCCAUGAAGUCGGAAUCGCUAGUAAUCGUGGAUCAGAAUGCCACGGUGAAUACGUUCCCGGGCCUUGUACACACCGCCCGUCACACCAUGGGAGUGGGUUGCAAAAGAAGUAGGUAGCUUAACCUUCGGGAGGGCGCUUACCACUUUGUGAUUCAUGACUGGGGUGAAGUCGUAACAAGGUAACCGUAGGGGAACCUGCGGUUGGAUCACCUCCUUACCUUAAAG